ACCGGAGCUGUCCCUGAAAUUGGCACCGCGGGGCCCCCACCUGGCUCCACCUAAAUAUGUGUCUGGGGUUGGCAGGAGAGAGGAUAACCUUCUGAGGCCAGGACAGCUCCAGAGGGCCGAGACCCUCCCUCCUCCUCCCCCUCGCCCCCUGGCUCCGGGAGCCCCUCCCCCGCUGCCUUCCCCUACGAAGGCCAGGGUUCCUCAGCACAGUCCCCACGCUGGCCCGGAAAGCUCAUCGCCAUAUUAAGAAAGGAAAAAGCCUGAGCUAAAAAUAAGACCAGAUGAGUCGGAGCGGAGGAGAAGGUGGUAAAAAGCACCCGGGCUGCAGGAAGAGACCCCCUGCACUUCCCUUUCAAGAACAAGGACCAAGGAUGAUGUCAUUCUCAGAAUAAAAGAUGGAGCCUCAGCCAGGACGGGCGACCUGGCUCAGCCCCAGCCA